rnacentral:rRNA from 1 species
UGGGAACCUUCCCUAUAGUACGGAAUAUACCAGGGAAACUUGGAGCAAUACCGUAUACGCCCGAGAGGGGAAAGAUUUAUCGCUAUAGGAUGGGCCCGCGUAGGAUUAGCUAGUUGGUGAGGUAAUGGCUCACCAAGGCGACGAUCCUUAGCUGGUUUGAGAGAACGACCAGCCACACUGGGACUGAGACACGGCCCAGACUCCUACGGGAGGCAG